rnacentral:rRNA from 1 species
GACAGAGGGUGCGAACGUUGUUCGGAAUUACUGGGCGUAAAGCGCAUGUAGGCGGCAGCGCAAGUCGGGCGUGAAAUCCCACGGCUCAACCGUGGAAGUGCACUCGAAACUGCGCAGCUAGAGUCCUGGAGAGGAAGGUGGAAUGCUUGGUGUAGAGGUGAAAUUCGUAGAUAUCAAGCGGAACACCGGUGGCGAAGGCGGCCUCUGGACAGUGACGUGACGGCUGAGAUGCGAAAGCGUGGGGAGCAACAGGAUUAAGAUACCCGUUGUAC